GUCAUUCUUUGAAUUAUGGGAGCUCUCAGUUCAUGCAAAUGCCAUUACAUUGUACAGAAAAAAGGAUGGCACAGAGGCAGAAUCAAAUGAAGACUAUGGGAUGUUAUUCAGAUUAUCACAGGAGGGAGGCAUCACCUAUACAAAUUUAAUCCAGCAAGUCUCUGUCUCACCUAAUGCAAAUCUUGCUGGUGCUGAGGUGGUAGGUGGUCUUCCUCUGCUCCAAAACACUUAUGGCAGUUUCAUGCAGCUAUUGCAAGCUCCUAUUGAAUCAGAGAGUGCUCUAUAUUUGACAUCCAAUAGAUUUGAGUAUGACAACACCUUUUGGGGUUUUGAUCCUCACAAUGGUUAUCAACAAAAUGACCUGCAAAAUGCACAAACAGACACCUCUCAGAUGUGCAACUCUUUGCCACAAAGUGUAGCUGUGCAUCCUCCUGUGGCAUCACUGGACAUGCUAUAUGAUGAAAUGCAGAAAUCAAGCGCUGAUGUUGAUAAUCAAGCUGAGAUGUGCAGGCCAACAGUACAAUUGAAAGCAUCAUCUGUAGAAGUGAUUUAUAAUGAAAUGCAGACUCAAACUAUUGAGGCUGAUGCCUGUUUUGACCAGCACUUUGAGCAAGCAACAGAAGAGGAUUUAUUGUCUGAUCAUGCAAUAGUUACAUUUCAGCAAGUUGAGGAAAUAGAACAAGAUAAAAGUGCAGAAAAUCCAGAUCAAAAUUUUAGUGAGGAAGAUAUAAACAUAUUUCUGGAGAAUGAAAGUGUAGCUGUUGUUCAGAGAGGUGGUCAGGAUGCUAACAGUGCACAUGUGCCGUCAAUCAACAAAGUUUUUGCUGAUGAGAAUGAAGCUUUUGACUUCUACAAUGGUUAUGCUUAUAUGGUUGGUUUCUCUACAUGCAAAGCUAGCAAUUACCAUAGCAGAAAAACCGAUGUUGUGACAAGGCACACGUUCAAAUGCAACAGGUUGAGGAAACCAAGUGAUCCAAAGGAGAAGGACCUGCCUGAGGUUGAUGAAGUUGAGAAUUGUUUGCAAACAAACACAACAAAUCCAUUGGUAAAAAAAAGAAAACAGAACAAAGUGGUUUACACAAAUUGCAAAGCUGAGAUGGUGAUAACAUUGAAGAGGGGCUUUUGGUACAUUACAAGGCUCAAUCUAGAGCACAAUCAUCCGCUAUCUCCACCAGAAGAAAGAAAAUUCCUAAGGUCUCACAAACAUAUGACAGACCAGGAGAAACUUUUGAUAAGAACUUUGAACAAAAUCAAUGUGCCCACAAGGAUGAUUAUGUCUGUUUUGUCAUAUCUUAUGUGGGUCACUAGAAAGAGAUGGGCACCAGUUUACUUCAAAAGCAAUUGGUGCCCUUUGAUUCAGACAACAGCAAGGAGUGAGGGGACAAAUUCAAGUAUGAAAGGAUUGCAGAAAACAAUUUAUGAGUGCUUCAAAGAACAGGAAUCGCUGACUAGGAAUACUGUUCCAGAUACUUGGUCAGAAUAUCAAUUUGAGAAGCAAGCUGCAAAACUGUAUACUAGGAAGAUAUUUUGGGCAUUUCAGCAUAUCUUGCAAAGCUAUACCAAGUAUGAUGUGACCGUGAAAGUGCGUGAUUCUAUUUUUGAGGUGUACAAAUCAGAGAUUCAUGCACUACAGGAUUUCAGAAAAAGGAAGUAUAUUGUGGUUGUUGAUACUAUAUCUGAAGAAUAUGAAUGUAUCUGUUCAAGAUUUAAGAAGGAUGGUAUUUUGUGUGUUCAUGUGCUCAAAGUACUCAUUCACUUGAACAUAACAAAACUACCUGAGAAAUAUUUUAUUGAAAGAUGGAGGCUGAAAGACAAAAACCAAGAAUUAUCUGUGCCAAACACAUUGAUGUCUGCUACUGUUCUUGAAAGCAACCCUUUACUCAGAUGCAUCAAAACAAAAGAAAAGUUUAUAUAUGUGAUGAAUGAAAGUGACAAGAUUGAAGAUGGGUUGAAGGCAAUGAGUGAUACGGCUCCUAACGAGGCUACUGUUCAUGUUCAGGAUGCGGCGGCGACAACUUGUGGUGUAGCUUCUGUUGGUGCUCAAAGUGGAAUAUUGAUGGGUCCUAGUGGUGUUGGUAUUGAUGCUGAGAGCACAAAGGGUGCGGUUGCUGAAACUGAAACAACAGAUAUGGUUGGAAUUGCUUCUACUUCUGUUUUACUGGAUCCAAAAUGCUCUAAUAGCAAAGGUAGGCACAAGAGUGAGCCAAGAAAAAAGAGGCUGAUAGAUGUGAUUAGAAGCAAGGGUUUGGUGACAUGUAGUGGUUGUGGAUCCCAUGACCAUAACAUUCGCACUUAUCCCAAAAAAAAGAGAAGCCAAAUGCAACAGAAGUGA
rnacentral:lncRNA from 1 species